UAAGACAGAGAGAGAGAAUGAUAGAAAUGCUGGAAGAACGAGCCUUGGGGCGGUAUCGCCCAGAUCUGAAUCCACACAGCAGCUGCUUCGGUCCCUGUAACUCAAGGCUUCCUCUUAAUCCUCUGUCCUCCAUCAACACCUGGCUGAGCAGGAACAACUAUGACCUAGGACCAGGGCCUUCAGGAAUCUUCACCCCUAACUUGAACUUCAUAACACUGGAGAGAGAGACUGUGGAAUGGAAUGACUCUCCAGAGCUGCAGAUUGAAGGCAUAUUUUCAUCUGACUUUGAUCUCAAUGGCGGGAACACCUUCAUGGCCCCUUUAUAGCUGGAUGAUCAUUUCCUGUUCUCUCCACCAUGGCCACCUGGUCCAAGCCACCAUCUUCAUGCACCUGGAUACCUGCCAUAACCUCAGCUGACCUUUCCUGUGUCCAUUCUUGUUCCUUUGGGCCCAGUCUCCUCGCUCAUAGCAGCAGAAUGAGUCUAUUAAAAAGUGAAACAA
rnacentral:lncRNA from 1 species